rnacentral:rRNA from 1 species
CACUCCUACGGGAGGCAGCAGUGGGGAAUUUUGGACAAUGGGCGAAAGCCUGAUCCGGCAAUGCCGCGUGUGUGAAGAAGGCCUUCGGGUUGUAAAGCACUUUUGUCCGGAAAGAAAUCCUUGGCUCUAAUACAGUCGGGGGAUGACGGUACCGGAAGAAUAAGCACCGGCUAACUACGUGCCAGCAGCCGCGGUAAUACGUAGGGUGCGAGCGUUAAUCGGAAUUACUGGGCGUAAAGCGUGCGCAGGCGGUUUGCUAAGACCGAUGUGAAAUCCCCGGGCUCAACCUGGGAACUGCAUUGGUGACUGGCAGGCUAGAGUAUGGCAGAGGGGGGUAGAAUUCCACGUGUAGCAGUGAAAUGCGUAGAGAUGUGGAGGAAUACCGAUGGCGAAGGCAGCCCCCUGGGCCAAUACUGACGCUCAUGCACGAAAGCGUGGGGAGCAAACAGGAUUAGAUACCCGAGUAGUCCCAUGAU